rnacentral:rRNA from 1 species
GUGGAUUAGAUACCCUGGUAGUCCGCGCCUUAAACGAUGAAUACUAGACGUUGGGAUUAAACUCAGUGUCGCAGCUAACGCAUUAAGUAUUCCACCUGGGGAGUACGAUCGCAAGGUUGAAACUCAAAGGAAUUGACGGGGGCCCGCACAAGCAGUGGAGCAUGUGGUUCAAUUCGAUGCAACGCGAAGAACCUUACCUGGGCUUGACAUGUAAGCUAAGGCGAAUGAAAGUUCGCGUCCCGCAAGGGGAGCUUACACAGGUGCUGCACGGCUGUCGUCAACU